UGAAAUCCAAUCCUGGUACUCCGUCGGUU
rnacentral:piRNA from 1 species